UGGGGAAUUUUGGACAAUGGGCGCAAGCCUGAUCCAGCCAUGCCGCGUGCAGGAUGAAGGCCUUCGGGUUGUAAACUGCUUUUGUACGGAACGAAAAGACUCUGGUUAAUACCUGGGGUAAUGACGGUACCUGAAGAAUAAGCACCGGCUAACUACGUGCCAGCAGCCGCGGUAAUACGUAGGGUGCAAGCGUUAAUCGGAAUUACUGGGCGUAAAGCGUGCGCAGGCGGUUAUGCAAGACAGAUGUGAAAUCCCCGGGCUCAACCUGGGAACUGCAUUUGUGACUGUAUAGCUAGAGUACGGUAGAGGGGGAUGGAAUUCCGCGUGUAGCAGUGAAAUGCGUAGAUAUGCGGAGGAACACCGAUGGCGAAGGCAAUCCCCUGGACCUGUACUGACGCUCAUGCACGAAAGCGUGGGGAGCAAACAGGAUUAGAUACCCACGUAGUCCCUGAGCGGGCUGGCAAGGCGCAU
rnacentral:rRNA from 1 species